ACAAUGAGUGAGGCGGACCCGCCCGGCGCGCCACCCUCGCCCCAGGAUCCGUGCGGCCGGCGACGCUCCCUACGGGCUCUUCCCGUCAGGAAGCGCGGCCUGGCGGGCGCUCGGGCUCGGCCAGAGCGCAUGGCCGGCCGACGCUCUCAAGAGGAUAGCCAACACCCUCUUCUGAUCUCCAAGACUACCAGAUUCACGUGUGGGCACAGACCUGCGUGAACAGAUGUAUACUGUUGACACACCUUGCCAAUGACUGUGAGGCUUCAGACCCAUGGUACAAUUUGGCAAAGCUUACCCAUAUGGGCCAGGCUCAAGAGGAAUGGCAGAAUUCCCGUUACUGAUCAGUAUGUGAAAAGACAACUGACUUUGACUUCCUCCUCCUGGAGGAGAUGUACAGACUCCUACUGAAACUAGCUAGCCCCUCCCACUGGGUUGUACCUAGGAAUAAACAUGCUGAGUUCUAGGUUGCAAAGGUAGCAGAACUCCACCUGGCC
rnacentral:lncRNA from 1 species